AUUUUUAAUACUACGGUAUUUAUAUAAUAUUAACAUAAUUCAUAUUACUUUUUAGUAUAUGAAACUUUACUUUGAGAAAAUUAGAGUGCUUAAAGCAGGCUAUUGCCUUGAAUACUCCAGCAUGGAAUAAUAUUAAGGAUUUUUAUUCUUCUUAUUGGUUCUAGAAUAAAAAUAAUGAUUAAUAGGGACAGUUGGGGGCAUUUGUAUUUAACAGUCAGAGGUGAAAUUCUUAGAUUUGUUAAAGACAAACUACUGCGAAAGCAUUUGCCAAGGAUGUUUUCAUUAAUCAAGAACGAAAGUUAGGGGAUCGAAGACGAUCAGAUACCGUCGUAGUCUUAACCAUAAACUAUGCCAACUAGAGAUUGGAGGUUGUUCCUUACUCCUUCAGCACCUUAA
rnacentral:rRNA from 1 species